UUUAUGUAUUACAUUCCCACGGGCCCCCCUCUGCCUUACACCCCCAGUCCGGCGGCCCUGGGUGUGAGGUCAAAAUGAAACCACAUUUUUAAGAAAACUAGAUAGAAAGUCCAUCCAUGCAUACAGACAUUUGUAGUGCCAAACCACGAUAUUACCUUCAAUCAGAAUCAGAAAUCUUUGAUUGAUAAAUCCUGGAAUCUCUCGUCCUAUGGGCAACAGUGUGUUCUGAUGUAACAACACAAAUACCAUAAGACAAAAAUUCUAUGUUGGGAAUGACUGCUCGGACUGCUUACAAAAAUGUCAUAGAUCCUUCUCAAAAUAGUAUUUCCCAGAUCUUAGCCGAGCCGAGCUCCAGUUAGGUUGGGUUCAGGUACCUGAAGGCCUGGCGUUGCCGUGUGAUAUUGAUGACGUCUUAUCUAUGUGUGUUGUCAGUCCCUGUGGCGUAUUGUUCACACAGGGGUUUAGAAUACCCACGGCCAAACUCCAUCGGCUCCGGCAGCACCGCCUCCACCACCAUCAGCCAAUCGUCCUCCUCCUCCGGACGGGGCUCGCUGCCUCCCAUUGGCUACCAGGGAAGCCAAUCACAGGGGGCGGAAGGCCGUCACACCGUGUGCUCCUCCUCCGAAGCACUGGCGGAAAAUGAGCUGAACAAUCUUCAUCUCCGUCAGCAUCACCUUCAUCAAGACUGUGAGAAGAGGAAGAUUGGGCGUCUAUUUCUACUGGACAGCACAGAGUCCUCGGGAGACUGCAUCAGCCCAUUCAGCAGCUCAGAGCACAGCUGCCUGUCUGCCAUUGGUGGAGAGGUAGUGGACUCCUCCUCCUCCUCUGUAUUUGCAUACAACAGCACCAAGGCCCGCCCACCGCUCAGUCGGAAGCCCAGCCUCCGCAUCAAUGGCUCACCGGCAAUGAUCAGACGAAAAGCAAUGAGUCUCCUCCAAUCCUCAGCCCUGGCCACCUCUCAGGGUAGUGAGAUCUUCAUUGGGAAAUCAACAGAGGUUUAAGCUCUUGAUGACCCUCUCAAGGUCCUGUCUCCAACCAGACCUGACCCUGAGUGUGCUGAAUCAAGCAAUUUAAGAGGUCAUUUAUUUCCCAUCAACUGCCACUCAUUUUAUAUUAUUAUUCCAGAAAUGUCUGCUGAUAUUUUUUUUCCAUUUCACAAAUCCUCCAAGCGAUAUUGGACUAUUUGCUCUUAGCUCAUCCAUUACAUGAAGCGAGUUCCUACAACGAUGGGAACUUUGUGGUUGAGGGGAGCGAGGACAUCAGACUGCAUCCUGACAGGACAACAGGCCAUAUUAUGGUGUAUGGGAGCCAUGUUGCUCUCUGGCGCUCAGACACAGUUCCUCUUUUACUUUUUCCAACUCAUCAUCUCCCGAUGUCAUGGCAUGUACAGUUUUUCUCUUGAAACGGUUUUGUGGAACGGCUGGUUUAAUGGACCAUGGGGGUCUUUGACAGUUGGGGAUGCAGAACUUACAGCAUUCGGUUCUACUGUUGGAUUGUGAAUGUUUUACAAACAACAUCUUUGUCAGAGUACAGCUUAUGUGUUGGAUCUUUGUACCACGCAGUAUACUGUAUUUCACGUUUGUAACAUUGUGUGUGUGUUAUUAUUAGAGAUAAUUUCACCUGCCUGAUCAAAUGGCAACCUUAUGUAGGUAAAUUCAGCAAAAUCUUUGAAGAUUUAAUUUAUUGGUGUUCGAUUGCAUUUUUCUGUAAAGUUUGCUUGGAUUUUGUUGGAUCCUCUGCUCUGUACCCUUUUUUGAGAUAAAGGGAACAAAGAAGAUUAUUUAUUUAAAUUUAAAUAGUUCUUAAUAUAUACUUUUUAUGAAACCUCAAAUUUGGUGGUUUUCUCUGCUAUUUUUUGUAUUGUUUAGAAUCCAAGAUAAAUACAAUACGUCUUUAAAGGCUAAUACAAGAACUUUAAUGCAUCAACAAUUUUAUAAAUAGACAACAUUUAAAUACCUGGGUGGUUGGUAAUACCACUCAUUACCUCAAUAUAAAGUCAUAAAUGGUCAGCUUAUAUACAGCUAUAUUGUGUGCCAAUGCCUUCUAGCGACUGAGUUUGGUGACCACUAACAAAAAAACAUUUGGGUCAAAAACCACUUAUUUUAUGGGUCCAAAGAUGGUUCCAAACUGGAUCAUUUACCAGCAUUUCUCCUCAUCUUAAAACCAAUGAUAUUUCUUUUUCAUACUUUCAUAUUUGUAUUGUGUUUGAAACAGUUGUUAUGUUACCAAGAAGGUUUUAUAUUACUCUUUGUAACAAUGCCGUGUCUGAUGUUCAUCAUGGCAUUUCCGUUCAUAUUUAAAACCACUAAUAUCACAUUGCUCCUUCCUUCCUGAUUACCAACUUAAUUUUUAUAAACGUCAAUGUUUGCUUGCUUUUUUGGGGCUUUUGUUUGAGAGUCAUAUUUUAUUUAUACAACCACUACAGGUAAUGCACUGAUAUGUGCUUUACAGAGUGAUUUAAAUCAAAUUAUGCAAAAACAAUAAUUGUAUUUCAUUGUUAUUUCUUUGCAUAAUCAUAAUUAUUAUCAUCAUUAUUAUUUUGUUUCUUUAUUGAACACAGACGGACCACCUUUGUACACUUUUGCAUGAGGAUGUGAUACCAGAUGGUCAUGUUAGCAUACAGAUAUGACCCCUAAUUGUUCCUCAGAAAGCGGCAUUAAGGGGAACGACGCAAUAGUAUGUAGACAGUGAAAGUGGAAUUGCGCAAUAGCAUUGCCUGGAUCUAUGUAUUUUAGGCCCAAUAUAGUUAAUUCACAAAAACAUCUUUUAAUCAGUAUACACUUGUUUAUUAUCAGGCGUUGUUGGCAUGUGUGGCAUUCUGUAUUAUUUGUUGUAUUCUGAAAUAGUUUUAACUAGGGUUUUCACACGAUCCAAACCCCAUUUCUGUUUUUGACAGAUUACAUUAUUCAAACAAAUAAACAAGAAAGGAAGUAUGUCUGUAAUGUUUCAAUGUUAUUUAGUUAAAACGAAGACAUUUAAAUGUUAUUGAUAUCUAUAGAUAUAAAGAUUUAAAGGAAGAGGACAUCUUUCCAUAUUAAAUGUCUGACCCUUUCUUUUCAAAGGAAAGCAUCAUUGGAAUUGGAAC
ensembl:lncRNA